GAAGAGGAAGAGGAGGACAGCUGAUCUCCACCUUGCAGGGAGGAAAGCAGGUGGUUCAGACGGUGCAGAUGUUGGUGAACUGCAGACCAUCGCGGUUCUUCCUGCAGCCUCUGAGUUGGAGGAUCUCAUCAGUGUCCGUCUUCCUGACCGCCGGUCGGUUUUUACCUCCAGGAUGUCCAGAGACCUUCAGCUUCUGGAGCAGGAACCACAUGAGCUCCAUGUGCUGAUGAAACAUUUCUAAUUUCAAAUGUGUCUGAUGUUCUUAGAGUUGAAGUGCAUUAACAAUCUGUUGUUUUUCACUUCAAUAUGUUUAAUUAUGAUUCAUCUGACGUCCAAGUUACACUGAGAACAAAUAAAACUGUUUUCCUUCUAAUCUGA